AUUGAACGCUGGCGGCAGGCCUAACACAUGCAAGUCGAGCGGAUGAAGGUAGCUUGCUCCUGGAUUCAGCGGCGGACGGGUGAGUAAUGCCUAGGAAUCUGCCUGGUAGUGGGGGAUAACGUCCGGAAACGGGCGCUAAUACCGCAUACGUCCUGAGGGAGAAAGUGGGGGAUCUUCGGACCUCACGCUAUCCGAUGAGCAUAGGACGGAUUAGAUAGUUGGUGGGGUAAAGGCCUACCAAGGCGACGAUCCGUAACUGGUCUGAGAGGAUGAUCAGUCACCCUGGAACUGAGACACGGUCCAGACUCCUACGGGAGGCAGCAGUGGGGAAUAUUGGACAAUGGGCGAAAGCCUGAUCCAGCCAUGCCGCGUGUGUGAAGAAGGUCUUCGGAUUGUAAAGCACUUUAAGUUGGGAGGAAGGGCAGUAAGUUAAUACCUUGCUGUUUUGACGUUACCAACAGAAUAAGCACCGGCUAACUUCGUG
rnacentral:rRNA from 1 species